GACCACCUGGCCAAGUGGUAAGGCGCUUGACUUCGGUUUAUUCGAUCAUCAAGAGAUCGCAGGUUCGAUCCCUGCGGUGGUCG